AACGAACGCUGGCGGCGUGCCUAACACAUGCAAGUCGAGCGCGAAAAGGGCAACCUGAGUAGAGCGGCGCACGGGUGCGUAACACGUGGGUAAUCUGCCUUAGAGUCGAGGAUAACCUUCCGAAAGGUUGGCUAAUACUCGGUAAGCUUACGGUGUCUUCGGACGCUGUGGGGAAAGUAGGCCUCUGUUUACAAGCUUACGCUCUGAGAUGAGCCCGCGGCCCAUCAGCUAGUUGGCGGUGUAACGGACCACCAAGGCAACGACGGGUAGCUGGUCUGAGAGGACGAUCAGCCACACUGGAACUGAGACACGGUCCAGACUCCUACGGGAGGCAGCAGUGGGGAAUUUUCCACAAUGGGCGAAAGCCUGAUGGAGCAACGCCGCGUGUGUGAUGAAGGUUUUCGGAUCGUAAGGCACUUUCGACCGGGACGAAAAACCUCUGGCUAACAUCCAGGGGCCUGACGGUACCGGGAGAAGAAGCACCGGCUAACUCUGUGCCAGCAGCCGCCGUAA
rnacentral:rRNA from 1 species